ensembl:lncRNA
CUUGUGGAACCUCAAGGUUUCCGGGACGCUUGGAACAAUGCUCUCAGAGCUGGACGAGCUGAUGCUAAAAUGUCAUGCAAGUGUCAGGUCGUCAAAUGCAUGGGAUGCCAUGUUAAGGAGUCUGGCCGUGCUUUUCAGACAAUGGGUCCUUUCCCAGUAGGGUACAUUAGGCGACUGCGGGUGGCACAGAGACAAGACAGGACGUAAUCUUGAAUCACACAAGAAGAUAUUUAGUUCCUUUUCCAUUCUCUUUUAGUCUUUCUAAUUAUGUAAAGAAACUUUUCAAGAUUGGGAAAGUGUGGCCAUAAGGCCAAGUUCGAGCCAAUGGGAGCAGAACAGAAGCGAUAUGUGUGCCUUCUGAAAAGUUUCCUCAAAGAGAAGGGUUCUGUCCUGCAUCUUUUCCUCCUUCCUUUGGUCUGGAAUACAGACAUGAUGGCUGGAACUUGAUCAGCUACCUUGGAUCAAAAGGCAAAAGUUACAUUUGAGGAGUGAAAAGCAAUAAGAGAGAAGGAAACUGGUUUCUGAUCACUUCCUGGAAUGGCUCCACCAACCCUAUGCUUACUCUCCCAAACUUCUUUUAUGUGAAAAAGGAACUUUUUUGUUUUAGCCAUUCUUAUUUCGGUUUUUCUGUGCUCUGACAUUAUUAUGAGAAAAACCGCUUGUGCCUUAUAACUUUGUGAGAAAACUUUAUCAGAAUAUCUUGGGGGACGGGCCUUGGAAUCUGCAUUUGACACGGUCCCAUGGGGACCAAUGCACACUAAAGUCUGAGGUUGGAUGCUUACAAAUCAACUCUUACAAUUGUUCUUUAGAAACAUAUAUACAUUCUAAGACUAGGGGAGCAAGAAAUUUGGACAUAAAAGGAAAGAACCAUCUUUUUGUUUUGUCUAUAGAUGACUUUGAACCUUUACUAAUUAAGGGUUCCGAAGUGAAACUCUCGGUGGUAAAAAUUCUAGCUGAAAGGAAAUCAUCAGGCAAACUGGACCAGCGCCUGUGAGUUUAUGGCGAUGUUGGGGUUAGAAUUUUGCUCUUGGACUCCCGGCUCUCUGACCUCUGGACCCUGCAGCUUCCCUGCAAGCUCUGAAAAGCUAGUCUUUCUCCAGCACUGCUGGUGAAAAUCCUCCAGCCUAGCCACAGGGCGUGAGAUGGCAGCUGUCCCGCAGCAUGGGCACGUUUUUCAGACUGAGAAGUGAAGUGUGUCCAAGCUAAACAGCAAGGGGUAAUCUAGGUCAGCUGCCUGUCCACAUAGGUGGCUGGAGCCACAAAAGAAUCCAAGUCAUCCCAUGUGAUGCACGUCAGAGUUUGGAAGGUCAACCCCCUGUUCCAGCUCACCUAAAUCCUUGCCAGGAUACAGCAAUUUCAAGUGAAGCAUGUCUGUGUCCUGGACCUUUCCAAACCAUUUAUUCAGUAACAAUGCAUCGGAGGAACUGGCUCCGCCACUCCCCACCAAAAUGGCUUGUUGACUAUGAACUCUGUUAAUGAUAAGACCUUAAAUGAGAAAGCAGGAGGGAAACAGUGUUUCAAACGCAGAGGGCUUGCACAGGUUAUAAAACAACAAACCAAAGGAGAAACUGUAACCCAGCAAUUAGCUGUAAAAAAAACAAUGGUGCUUUCUAAGUAAACACACACACUUUCCAAUAUUGAAACAGGGAGGAGGUCAGAGGUGGGGUUUAAUAAAACCUGCUUUGGGGA